UCAGACGAUGCGUCAUGCAUAUCAAUAAGCGGAGGAAAAGAAACUAACAAGGAUUCCCCUAGUAACGGCGAGUGAAGCGGGAAGAGCUCAAAUUUGAAAUCUUAAAGGGUUUCCCUUUACGAAUUGUAGUUUAAAGAAGUGUUUUCUGUUGAGGUUUUGGUAAAAGUUCUUUGGAAUAGGACAUCAUAGAGGGUGAGAAUCCCGUAUUUGACCUUUACUUUCAACUUUGUGAUACACUUUCAAAGAGCCGGAUUGUUUGGGAAUGCAGUCCAAAAUGGGUGGUAAAUUUCAUCUAAAGCUAAAUAUUGGCGAGAGACCGAUAGCGAACAAGUACCGUGAGGGAAAGAUGAAAAGAACUUUGAAAAGAGAGUUAAACAGUACGUGAAAUUGUCAAAAGGGAAGCGUUUGACACCAGUGUUGUUUUUCUGAAAAUCAAUUAAAGAACUGUUUAUGCUAAGCUGUUUAGACUUUAUCAGCUAUCUGUUUAGUUUUGAGCUUUUCUUUAAUGCACUUUUCAGUUAACAAGUCAACAUCAAUUUCUUUUGCUGUAAAAAAGCUUGAGGAAGGUGGCUUGAGAUUCGUCUUAAGUGUUUAUAGCCUCUUGCCUAUGCAGUCGGAGAGAUUGAGGUCUGCAGCGUAGAUCCUUCGAGGCUAAAUGCAUUUGUGCUAAGUUAUAGCAUUUUAUAGACAACUUGUUGACUAUGAUUUGUCUUGUAGCUUACUCGCUUAUGUUAUUUUACCUACGCUUAGGAUGUUGACACACGCGCGUGCUCG
rnacentral:rRNA from 1 species